GCCAGGCAUGGUGGCGCACGCCUGUAAUCCCAGUGCCUCAAGAGGCUGAGGCAGGAGGAUCAUGAGUUCGAAGCCAACUUCAGCAAUGGCAAGGCACUAAGCAACUCAAUGAGACCCUGUCUCUA
rnacentral:sRNA from 1 species